UGUGCGGGGCAUGCAAAGCA
rnacentral:misc_RNA from 1 species